UGUGUGUGUGUGUCUCCCAGCAAUCCUAUGACAUCCUGCUGUUGAUUCUGAUGGUGCUGCUGCUGGUGCAGGCAGUACUUACUUCAGCCACUGUGGUGCACUGUGCAACAUACAAGAGUCGACUCCGCUUGGGGGCUCCAGAGUGUGAGGACAGCUUACAGACUGCGACUCAUUACCAUGAGCAGCAAACACCCAAUGGGACGCUGCAGGACUACGACAAAGACAGAGCCUGGAAGGCGGUUUUGGUCCAAAUGGCCCAGUGAGAAAUCUCGUCUUGUCUACAGAGGUUUGCCUUGCAGAAGGAAAAAUCAGAGAAGGUAACAAUGAAGAAAUCCCCAUAAGAAUGAGAAAAACAAAAGAAAUGAACCAGAAAAGCGGAGCUGAAAAUAAAGAAUGAAAGACUAAUAAGAAAGUCUUUAAAAGCUUUGUUGUUCUUCUUUUUCAUUUGCAUAAAGAUGUUGUGGGCAUUCGUCUUUUCGGUUUAGGGAUUUUUUUCUGUACCAUUAAUUAAUUGUAACUAUUUCUAGAAAGUAUUUUAUCACAAAACAUCAUUUUAAAAAACGUUAUUGUUAAGAAUGUAUAACAGUCAACCGAGGCAGUAAUCAGCAAAUGGUUCUGUGGCUUGAGUCCACAAAUAACUCAUCAUUAGACGUUUGAAGUUACACUUUGAUGCAUACAAUAACUUUUUUUUUCCUCAGUUGAAAGAAUGAUUUCAAAAGUUGUUCUCUAAUGUGAUGCAUAUAUUUAUAAAGAUGUUUACUGAUUUCCUUAUUUAGAAUAAUGACUCAUAAUAUAUCCUAGCAGAUUUUGUUCUUCUUUGUCCUUGUGGUUUGAGAUGUUGCAACUUUUUUAUUACAAAGUAGCUGAUGUGUUAUUGCGGGCACAACGAUGUGAUGCACAGAGAAAGGGCUGAGAUGAUUUUUUCAAAUAAAACUUGUUUGGAAAUUAUUGAG